GAAGCAUUGCUGUGGAAAUGGUUAAUUCUCUUUCUGAAUCAGUGAAACCCUAUUUACACACACCGUCUUCAUUGUGCAGGUACAACAUUCAUUCAAACUUACUCAAAUGAAAGCAGAAAGAAUCACGCACCACCUGAAAUGAACAUGAGGGAUUUCUACAAGAGUCUGUCAUUU